rnacentral:lncRNA from 1 species
UAAACUCUUUUAACAAAUGAAUAGAAUAAAUAAAUGAUAAUGCGGACACCCAUGAAUGAUCAAUUGCAAUGACUUAAAUCACAAAACGUAAAUUAACCGAAAACAUUACUUGCCAAUACUUAAAAGCUUUAGAGACGGAGGAAUGCGAAGCUCAACUCGUUUCAUUGGUCACCUCGAAUCCUCAGAAAAGAGAUUGUCACGAAAAUAACUUCUGGACCUAUCCCACAACCAAGCAGCUUGUAUUUGAGCCGAAAUUUAGUUUAACUUGUAAUUGUGAUGAGAGGCUUCGUUCUGGCCAUUCAGGCUCGCCGAGAAGUAAUCUGCCGGAAUCAAACCUCCCUAGAAUCAUCUAAUUGGAAUACAAUACAUGGCUUACAGCAAUGGAAUCCAAAACCAACAUAAUUACAUAAAAAGAUCCGUCAACUAACAGAUCUCACAAUAUCUAAUAACAUCCGUUUAUCAGCAAAUAUUAAUGCAAAUGCCAACAAUUUAAAUGAUAAUCUCAUCCUCAGCUCAUAGAAUUUGAACUACCAUAACAUUAAUAACGAGGCAAUAAUCAGUGCAGAAGAGACUUUGGUAUCAUAAGGAUGACUGGUAAAAGUAAGCAGGAACGAAUCGGAGGUGUCGGGAAUUGUUUAGUAGGAUGACAACGUUUGUGCAUAAGUGGACAGAUAUUACCAACUAUAUCAAACAAAGUUUUGAUUCGUGGUUGGAUCUUUCGGUUGGAGCUUUAAAAUUGUGAUCAAGUAUUGUAAUUUAUAUUUUACAAUCAACAGAUAAAAUAAAUUUGCUCCCUUUAAAGUCGAUUGAAAACAAUUUGGAGUAAUUUGAGAUUGAUUGAACAACUCCACAGAUUGUAAGCAUCGUCCACUAGCAUCAUCAAUCAAUUACCAAGUUCCAACAAAGAUAAUUUAUAGUGUUUACAAAAUUAGAUAAAACCCAUAUUGAUUUGAGACAAUUUGAGCAAGAAGCUAAUUAAUUGUGCAAGUGAUUAUAUGUUCCCUGUGUGAGUGGCAGGCUUUAUUUAGCAUUAUUAGAUUGAUGAAAUCAGUUGAAAUAGAUUAAUACCUUUGGCGAUGAGAUAUCGAUGCGGCCGCAGUUGUCCAGAAUCCAUGUCCGACUGUUUGCAGUUGGGGGCGAGCGAAAAUAAGAGACAAAACAACAAGAAAGGACAGAGGACGCACACCACACACCGGAGGGGAGACCCUGGGCAAAAAUAAACCCCAUGCUGUCUCCCCUCUGAACCAAAAAUCGUUAUUUUUUUAUUGAGAUAUUUUUUUGACCUGCCAUGCAAGCGCACCUGCCAUGGCAAAGGCCGGAUGACAAAGAUCGGUCCAGCACUCGGCCCUUCCACCGAGCCUUUCGUCCCGAUAUCUUAUACAUCCAUCCGAAAUCAACCCAUAACCCCAACCCAAAUCCCACGAUAUAAAAGCUUCAGUCUCAUGAAAUUACAACCAUGAACCAUGACCCUUUGGUUAAGAUUAAACAUGCUUCGGCCACCACGAGAUCGAAUUGGAUCAGCUGCUGAAACGCCGCCGGAUACUUGUAAUCUCCUCCGAUUUGGUUAGAGCUCCGUCUGCGAAAUCUGUUUGGACGCCAAAACACACAUCAAUCAAAAUCUAUACGGAGCAGAAACACUAAAGCUAAAAUUCGUUGCAAAUUAAUAAAAUUUAAACAAAAAAGCAAAAACAAUAACGAUUUGAUACAAAAGUUCAUAUCCAGAUUAGUAAAACGAAUCGAAAACAUAUACGUACCUGUAAAUUCGAAUCGAAGAGCGACGAACACAGAAGCUCGGGCUGGUAAAACCAGCUGAAUUCAAAAGCAGCUCAAACCAUCACCUCACAAUCUCAAACCACCAUCAACACGUAGAUCUCCAUACGAUCGACGCGAAUCCGAUGGUGAUCGACAUAGAAAACAAUCCAUGGAGCGCAAAUCUGGAGAAGAACUCCUGAGGCGCAUGAAGUUGUGAGAGGCGAGAGAGAAUAUUUGGUGGCGUGAACCUUGAAUGGUUGAUAAGCAGGCACCCUAACGUACUUAUAAGAGGAUAAAAAUUGGGUAGACGGCUGCGAUUUCUUAAUUAUCAUCGUGAUCGACGGCUGGUGUUGAUCAUGUGGUUCGGUAGAUUUGGCGGUGGCGUAACCAUACACGUACCCUGAUGAGCUGGAGACAGAGAAAGCACACCCCAUUUUAUUGACCAUAUCAAACACGACAUGUAGUUUUUUUGGCCGCCUCGAUAGGUUGUUUGGUGGGAAUCGGAUUCAAUUUUUAUGCAAAUAUCUAUUUUGUCGAGAUAGAAUUCACGACCAUAUCUGGAUUCUAUCUUUAUUAGAAAGAUAAUACAAAUUAUGGUAUAAAUAAACUAUAAAAAUAACAUUUUUAUUUUAUUACUAUAAUUUUGGUUGGUUCUAGAUUAUUCGAUAUAUAUGGGCUAAUGGUUUCUUCAUUGUUGGGCCUUAAGAAUAUACAGAUAUUUUGAUAUAAGUACGCAUUAUUUUUUAAUUUUUUUAAUCAAAUAUCCAUGUCUUUUAGUAAUUUGAUUAAACUUUUUUUUGUCAUAAUAUUGGUGCUAUAUGCACAUUAUAUUGUAACAAAUUUCAUAUAAUCUAGCUUUUUGAUUACACUCUUCUUCGUUAGAGAUAAUUGUAAAAAUAAAAAAAAGUUGGUUAGAUUCAAUUUAUUUUCACAAUAAUGUUACAAUUUAGCAAUAAUUAUCUACGAUUUAAGAUAUUUUCUUUUCAAAAUAGUUUAAAUAUUUUUAAUCCCCAAAAAUCAAACAUACCGAAAUAAGUUUUUCUUUUAGUACAUUAAGAGAAAAUAGGAUUGAGAAUAAUAUAAACGUACCAAUAUAAAAAAUAAAAAUAAUGUACCAAUAUUAAUAAUAUGUAUCAAAUCAAACAUACAGAAAUUGCAAAUAAACAUAUCAAUUAAUGAUUUUUGUAAAUUCAAAUGUACCCUCAGAUAAUAUAUAUAUGUAAUGUAUCGUACCUAAUAAUAAUUCGUCAACAACUAUACUUAAAAAACAACCAAAAAUAUAUAUAUAAUUUCACAAAAAAAUUGAAAAAAUUACACGGAGCUUUUUAUGUUGAUCACCAACUAUUUGAAAAAGAAAAAACCAUUUGAAAAUUUAAAUAAUAUUAAAUGUUUGCAUAACAAAAAAAAAAUUGUGAUCGAAAAAACAUAUUUGGAAGAAGAAAAAAUAUAGUUUAAUUACUAAUAUUUCCACUAAAUAAGAAAAAGUGCAUCAUACAGAUAAAAUGAUAAAUUCAAAAAAUAUUUUAAUUUUAAAGAAUAGAGGUAACCAUUGGUCAAAGCACUUUAAUCAAAUUUUAAAAAGACAUAGAUGUUUAAUCCAAAUUAUAUAGAAAAACUAUAGGGAAUUCUAAUUUUCCCAAUAAUAUAUUGGGCCAUUGGUUUUUUGUCAAAGGAUAGAAUUGUAUUAAUAAUCAAAUACGAAUGGAAACAUUUGCAUCUUCAGCUAUAAUAUUAAACAAAAAUUGAGGUCCUAAUUCAUCCCAACCAUAGCGCCCACCAUGCUUAAGAACGUACGCCACCACCAUAUGGGUUGCAUGUCGAGGGGUAAAGAUAAACUUCACCAAUUGGAAUGACUGCAUAAUAUUCCAAAUAUCAACUAAAUAAACCUCCAUCAACACAUCAACUUGAAUCUCCUUAUUUAACAUUUGAACCAAUCCUUUUGAAUCAGACUCCACCUUCGGGUCGAAUUCAAGAAUUCAGCUUUGUAUUUUUAACUUUCGGUCUGAUGAUAUUUCGUUUUACUUGAAAGUUAGAGGUCUUACGUUCGAUUCGUUCGAAUAUCGUGGAUGGUGAAUUCAAUAUCAAAUUGGAUUACCCAUUAUGUAACUUUGCCAAACUCCACCUCCUAUUAUUGUCAAAAUAUCGAUGUAGUAAAAAAAAAUUUUAAACCUAUCAUUAUCACCAUCAACCUUAUUAUUUGACAAACUAUUGUAUUUUGUUUUUUUUUUUAAUAAUUUUGAAAUUAAUUUUGUACAAUCUAUCUUAUUUUUAUGUGUACAUACAUUUUGAUGUAAAUAAUUCAUUUCAUGCAAAGAGGAUCUGCAUGAGAAGAAGAGCCGUAUAGAAUUGUAAAGAGAGAGAGCCUGCGAGUGAGCUUUGAGGGUACACUUCGAGGCCCAACUUUUUUUUUCCAAUCCUUGUUCAGUUGAAAUUUACCUAUUUAUUUGACUGUUAAAAAUAGAAUUGAAUAGACAAGAAUUAGUUAAGCUUUGUAAGACAAGACAUUAAUGCAUGUCUAACGAGCGGCUAUAUAACUCACGUUUUUGUGAAUUUAUAAUCCAUCAUAUUUAGCUCAUAUAUUUUUUUUACAACUCAAGUCUAUUUUAAUUAAUCACAACCUAUCCUAACCAAUCCACCAAACAUACCCAAUGCCCACACACCCUAUUAAAUUAAAUGUUAAACUAGUCACCGAUGAAAUUUAAAUAUAAAGACUCAGCAUCUUUCCAACACUAUAAUACAAGACCACUUGCUAAAAUAACAUUAAAAAACAAUUUGUACAAGACCACUUGCUAGAAUAACAUUAAAAAACAAUUUGUUUUGAAUGUAAAGACUCAAAAUCUUUCCACCACGGUAAUACAAGACCACUUGCUAGAACAACAUUAAAAAACAAUUUGUUGUAAAUGGUGAGACGGAUACCAAUUUAUUUUUCCAAUUUGCUGUAAAAUAUAAUUUUGCAUUAAAAAAAGGGUAAAUUACAUAGUAACCCCUCAGAUUUGAGGUCUAUUACAACCUCAUACAACAUCUUUAAAACAUUUCACUUUCAUACUUCACGUACUAUUUUAUUACAAUCUCAUACAAUCUCUUUAAAACAUUUCACUUUCAUACCUUAUGUAUUAUUUUAUUUCAACAUAAUACCUCUGUUAGAUUUUUCAUCCAUUAAUCCGUUAAAUCCUGACGUGGCUGCCACAUUUGUGCUGAUGUGGCUGCCAUGUGGCAAUUUUUUUUUUUUUUUUAUAUGUACAUUAAAAAUAUUAUAAUAUUAACCCUAUUAAAAAAAAAGAAACUCAAACCCAAAAAUCCUUCCCCGCAACACCACAUCCCACCCCCACCCCUUACCCAUCUCUUCCUUCCCGUCCCUCCAUCCCCUCCACCCGAGCACCCCUCAGCUCGGGUCCCACCUUGACCUCUCUCUCUCUCUCCCCCUCCCUCUCUCUCUCUUCUGUAAAAUGUGGAAUGGUUUUUGAGGUCUAGUGCCUCGCCUCCCUCCCUCCUCCUGGACCCUUCCAACCUCGACCUCUCCUGCCUCGCCUCCCUCAACCUCCUGUCAUGUAUAUUAUAAUAUUAUAAUAUUUUUAAUGUAUAAAAAAUUAUUAUUUUUACCACAUGGCAGCCACAGCAGCACAAAUGGGCUGUCAUGUCAACAUUUAACGGAUUAAUAGAUGAAAAAUCUAACCGAUGUAUUAUGUUGAAAUAAAAUAAUACAUGGAGGUAUGAAAGUGAAAUAUUUUAAAAAGAUUGUAUGAGAUUGUAAUAAAUUUCAAACCUGAGGUGUUACCAUAUAAUUUACCCAAAAAAACCAAAACAACAAAACAGACAGCAAAAAGGUAAACAGAAUGCAUACCGAAAAAUCACCAAACAACAUCAAAUCAUAUAACGAAAAAUUCAUAGCAAAUCUGGAUGGAUUCGAACCACCAACCUCUCAAAAGCCCAGUCAAGGACCUUGAGCGCUCUACCAUUUUUGAGCUUACAGAUCUUCAUUUCAAGCAACGAGCAGGAGGCCGAAAUCGAUCAACAAAGUUUAACUUCUGAAUUUUCCAGCUUAAUUCUUUUCAGUAAGAAAUUUACAGUACAAGCAACUACUUGUCGACUUACGUUAUGUACAUAUGGUACAUCUAUUUAAAUGGGGGUAGUAGUCUACCAAAAAAAAAAAUCUAAGUUAAGCCCCGCAAUAAACCAACAAUAAUGUUGAGCCUUUGCAUAAUGAUGUUAGUUCAAAUCCCACAGUAAUCAACUUGGAGUCAAUUUAAGGCAAUUUAAGGCAAUUCAAGGCAAGCAUCCUUCCAUGAUGAAAAAAUGUUGAGCCUUUACAUAAUGAUGUUAGUUCAAAUCCCGUCGGUGACCAACCUAAAAUUUAAUCUUACAAAAUCUAUUACUUGACCAAAAUAAAAUAUAAUUUUAAGGUCCCCCAAAAAUUUAGGGCAUCCCUUUUCUCGUCUGAUAUAUAGAUCCAAAAAUUAACUUCUCCGAAGGCAUAAAAAAUACAAGUGUUCUAAGCAGAGCAACUAUUCCCCUCAAAAUUAACUUCUCCGAGGGCAUAAAAAAACAAGUGUUCCAAGCAAAGCAACUAUUCCCCAGCCCAAAAACAAAUUAUGCUGUUUCAAUUUUACAAUUAACUUGCAGUAACAAAUGAUUCCUGCAAAUUUUUAGCUUUAAGAUUUAUUUGGAUUUACUUUUAAAAUGAUUGAAAAAUGACUAAGAAUUGGUUCUAAAAAAUGACUAAAAAUACUUUCAGAAAAAAUAUUUUUUUGUUCCAAAAACACUUGAAAUACUUUCCGGAACAAGCACAUAUUGUGCUUCUUACAGGAAGCAAUUUAAAUGUAAAUGUUUUUUUUUCAGAAUUUACUUACAUUUUUACUACGAAUUGGUUACAAAAACAUUUUCACCAAAAACGCUUUCAAUCAUUUUAAAACCACAUCCAAACGAGCUUAGUUAAAGAGGUUGCAUCAUAUAAAGGAAGACAUCAUGAACUAAACGCCACCUUCUGUAAGUAAUAGUAAAUAGAAACUACAUAAUACAAACAUUGAACAACUACGCGGAGCUGUUUGAAAAAUAACCAAAAUCAUAACCCCUAAUUGUGAAUCGGGCAAUAUCAACAGACCACAAUUUGAUCUAUCAUCCAAGUACUAUAAAAACAACCCCAGUUUAACGAUAAUUCCUCCGCAAUUCCAUACAAACAACAAAACCAAGGGAAUAUAUUCAAUCUAAACUCUUUUAACAAAUGAAUAGAAUAAAUAAAUGAUAAUGCCAACACCUAUGAAUGAUCAAUCGCAAUGACUUGAAUCACAAAACGUAAAUUAACCGAAAACAUUACUUGCCAAUACUUCAAAAGCUUCUUGUAAAUUAACAGAAAACAUUACUUGCCAAUACUUAAAAGCUUUAGUUUCAUUGGUCACCUCAAAUCCUCAGAAAAGAGGUUGUCACGAAAAGAACUUCUGGACCUAUCCCACAACCAAGCAGCUUGUAUUUGAGCCGAAAUUUAGUUUAACUUGUAAUUGUGAUGAGAGGCUUCGUUCUGGCCAUUCGGGCUCGUCGAGCAGUAAUCUUCCGGCAUCAAAUCUCCCUAGAAUCAUCUAAUUGGAAUACAAUGCAUGGCUUACAGCAAUGGAAUCCAAAACCAACAUAAUUACAUAAUAUUACAAAGAUCCAUCAACUAACAGAUCUCACAAUAUCUAAUAACAUCCGUUAUAAACAAAUAUUAAGGCAAAGGCCAACAAUUUAGAUGAUAAUCUCAUCCUCAGCUCAUAGAAUUUGUACUACCAUAACAUUAAUAACGAGGCAAUAAACAGUGCAGAAGAGACUUUGGUAUCAUAAGAAUGACUUGUAAAAGUAAGCAGGAACGAAUCGGAGGUUUCGAGAAUUGUUUAGAAGGAUGAUAUAAGUACGUUUGUGCAUAAGUAGACAGAGAAAUUACCAACUAUAUCAAACAAAGUUUUGAUUCCAAAUUAUUUCUGUCCUUUCUUAUUCCAAACAAAGUUUUGAUUCCAAAUUAUUCCAAAUCGUUUGUGCAUAAGUAGACGGAGAAAUUACCAACUAUAUCAAACAAAUUAUUCCACGAUACAAUAAAUUUGCUUACUUUGAAGUCAAAAUGAUUGAAAACAAUUUGGAAUAAUUUGAGGUUGAUUGAACAACUCCACAGAUUGUAAGCAUUAUCAAUCAAUUACCAAGUUCCAAUUAACAUAUUUUAUAUUGUGCUUACAAAAUUAGAUAAAACUCAUUGAUUGAGACAAUUUGAGCAAGAAACUAAUUAAUUGAUUGUGCAAGUGAUUAUAUGUUCCCUGUGUGAGUGGCAGGCUUUAUUUAGCUUUAUUAGAUUGAUGAAAUCAAUUGAAAUAGAUUUAGAUAGAUUAAUACCUUUGACGACGAGAUAUCGAUGCGGCCGCAGUUGUCCAGAAUCCAUGUCCGACUGUUUGCGAUUGGGGGCGAGCAAAAAUAAGAGACAAAACAAUAAGAAAGGACAGACGGCGCACACCACACAACGGAGGGGAGACCCUGGGCAAAAAUAAACUCCAUGCUGUCUCCCCUCCGAACCAAAAAUCGUUAUUUUUUUAUUGAGAUAUUUUUUUUGACCUGCCAUGCAAGCAGUGGCGAAGCUAGGAAUUGUUGGGUGGAGGGGCGAAAUUUUUCGAAUCCUUACGUCCAAUUAGUAAACCAUUUCUCAAUUAAGACAUUACUUCCAUCAUUUCUCGCUUUAUCAAAAUCACAUUUGAAAAGUAGCAAUAACGGCAAAAUGCUACAUCUUUUGCUAUACUAUACUUCAAUCACUCAAAAUUAUCAAACUAACGGGUGAUCAAACAUCGAUUGUCCUUCCCCCAUAACUUAUAGUAUCAUUCCAUUAACUAAAUGUAUAAUGGAAAGAAAAAAAGUCACUUAAUCCUAUAGUAGAGUCUACUACAAGUAAUAACUAAUUAGACCAACAAUUCAGUUAAUUAAUAUUAAUAAUUAUAUAAAUUUAUUAAUAAUCAACAAUUAAUUUAAUCAAGAAUCAACAAUUCAAUUAAUCAAUAAUCAACAGUUAAAUUCAUCAAUAAUCAACAAUUCAUUUAUCAAUAACCAUACAAUUCAUAUCAAUUAUUCUAUAUCAAUUAAACAAAAAUUUAUAUUAAACUAUCAAUUAGGGAUAAUUAAAUUUAAAAAAAAAAACAUUAGACAUUAACAUUAAAAGUGGCUAUGGAAGUUGGCUUGGAAGAUGUUGGCUUCGAGGCUCCUUGGAAUGGAAAGUGGAAGCCGCUGGCUAAGGCUUGAAGGCUUGAAGCUGGAAUGGAUGGGGACACAGACAAAUGGAAGGUGGUCCCCUUAUCUUUUUAACUUUCAAUGAUCACACGACGCCAUUUUUAGCUUCUUACUAUUUUUUUAGUACGCCGAAACGAUGCCGUUUUGCUUUAGGUUUCUUUUUCAUAAACCCAGGUCCAAAAGAACAGACACCCGCAUCGCAGAAGCAUGAAGGAAAAGGGAUGGUUUGUAGGUUUUCCGACGAUCUAAAGGGGGCAGCAAGUUGCUGCUGAUCAUCAUUUCCUGAGAGAGGAGGGGCGACCGCCCCUCCUUGCGCCUACGUAGCUUCGCCCUUGCAUGCAAGUGCACCUGCCAUGGCAAAGGCCGGAUGACAAAGAUCGGUCCAGCACUCGGCCCUGUAAAACAUUUGUGAAUGGACAAUGAGUUGUGAUGAAAAUCUUUAAGAAAGUAGUUGACUUGGUAAUCAAGUCAAAUGAAAUCUUUAUUCUCAGAAACCUUAAAGGAAUAAAUAUAUUUGGAGUUCUAAUUGUUUGCAAUCAGUUUCGGGACCUUUUAUCAAGAGAAUAUAUAUAUAAGAGUCAUGAUGGGACUCUGAUUGUUUUAGAGGAUAUCAGGGUGGAUAUCCUUUCCGUUAAUAGGGGGGAUUCGAUAGAAACCCUAGAUAUAAAAACAAAGAAGCAGUCCCUGCUUCCAUACCGUUCGAAUCACAAUACUACAGACCUAUUUUGUUAGUAGAAUUCAUAGAGGAGGUAUUGGAAGUAGAAGAUUGCUUCAUCCCUGCACCAGAAGCACAAUGGCGACAGGUAUGUUUUCAUGGCUAAAAGCAUGCACAACGAUAAUGCCAUGCAACAUGUAUAUAAUGACGUAACCUGCAUAUUGUUCUUACUGUAACCCUAAUAGCAUGCUGUUGGUUCCUUGGGUUAUCUAACAUGUGGUAUCAGAGCCACACAGUAUGGUUAGGGUUCAAUAUUAGGACUUACAGAUAUGAUCCAUAAACAAUAACAUUCAUGUGAUAAUUAACUUCCGCUGCACUGAUAAUUCCUGACAUGUAUAGAUGAUGAAGUUGAAUAUAUAGAUAUACAUAUAUUGUUGCUGUUUAAUCCGCGACAGGUUUAGAUGGGAAACAGAGAGACAAUGUACGUGGGUCAUAAUCUGAUUACAAGAACAUUUAUUCAUCAAAGUUAUACUGAUGAAUAUAUUUUCAAGACUCAUAAACGCUAAUCUGCUCAAAAGUGUUUAGCGUGCUUUGGUUGCUUAUUGUCCAAGUGAUUGGAUCUGACUCAUUUGAUAUAUGUGAAAAUUAUUAAUCUGCCUAAAGGUGUUUAAUGACUACUGUUGAAAUUCGAAUGAGUUAGUGUAUAAUGGAAGAUGGAAUUGACAAGAUUAUGUAAUCCAUCUGCUCAAAAGUGUUGGAUAUAUAUAUAUAUAUUACCCUUGUGUUCUAUGUUUGGAUUAUGCAAAACUAAUAUAAGCAACUUCAGUCCAAAGAUGUUGUUGUGUUUAUAUGCUAUUGAGAGGAUGAAGAAACUUGUCAUAAGCUUCUUCUUUAUAUCUGUUAUAAAAUUUUUGUAUAAAAUAUUAAUAAAUUUUGUUGAAUGCAGCUACUCAAACCACGUCACUCAAUUUUACUAACAUUGAAACAUUGACUGGUUCGAAUUUUAAAAAAUGGAAAGAGGAUAUUGAGAUAGUGUUGGGACUGAUGGAUCUGGAUCUGGCCUUGAGAGAAGAUCAGCCUGCAACAAUCACUACUGAAAGCACUGCAGAUCAAAGGAUUAAGUCUGAAAAAUGGGAGAGAGCCAAUAGAAUGUCAAUAAUGAUCAUGAAAAAGGCCAUGGCUCAGUCGGUGAAAGGAGGAAUUCCAAAGCACACCAAUGCCAAGGCUUUUCUUGCUGCCAUUGGGGAAAAAUACAUAGAAUCUGGGAAGGCUGAGACUGGAACUUUUCUCACUCAACUCACUUCCAUGAAGUUCGAUGGAGUUGGGAGUGUGCGUGAGCACAUUCUCAAAAUGGCAGACCUUGCUCUAAAGCUCAAAGAUCUUGAAGUGGUUGUGACUGAUCAGUUUCUGGUGCAUAUGGCACUGAAUUCGCUCCCUGCGAAAUAUGGUCAACUCAAGGUGUCUUAUAACACUUCGAAAGACAAGUGGGGUAUUGAUGAAUUAAUUUCAAUGUGUGCUCAAGAAGAAGACAGGCUGAAAACUGAUAAGAAUGCAGAAGUGCAUUUUGUUCAAACUGAAAAAGGCAAUAGAGUUCCAAGUACUGGUCCUAUGAAUACUGCCAACCAGAAGAAAAAGAAGGUUAAUUCUUACCCUUCAAUUAAGAAUACUAACACUUUUAAAGGAUCUCACAAACUUAAACCUAUAAACACUGAAAAUGAUAAAGAUAAGGAGUGUUAUUUCUGCAAAGAAACAGGCCACAUGAGGAAGAAUUGCAUUGGUUUCAAAAACUGGCUGGUUAGGAAAGGUAAAAUCAUUAAUGUUUUUGUCUGUGUUGAAUCGAAUUUAAUUAUCGUUCCUCCUCAAAGCUGGUGGUUUGACACUGGAUGUUCCAUCCACAUAACCAAUUCUUUGCAGGGGUUCUCAAAAACAAGGGAAAUAAACAAUGAGGUCUACAACGUUUUUGUGGGAAAUGGGAGCAAGGUGGCUGUGGAGUCUGUGGGCAGUGUUAAAUUAGUUUAGCAUCGGGUUUUGUUUUGUUUUUAAGUCCAGUUCUAUAUGUACCUUCAAUGCGAAGGAGUUUAAUUUCAGCAUCAAAGUUAGUUGAGUCAGGAAUCAUUUUUGUUGGAGACAAUGAAAGUGUAAAAUUUUUCCAUUCGAAUAAUAAGAACACCUUGCUUGGAAGUGCUUUUCUCAAAACUGAUAUGUGGCAAAUGGAUUGUAGCUAUUACAAUGAGUGUUUUAAUGUGUCAUUGAACAGUUCUAAAAGCAACAUAACUUCUGAAAAAUCAUCAAUACUUUGGCAUAAGAGGCUAGGACAUAUAUCAAAAGAAAGAAUGUUAACACUUUCACAACAGCUUUUGUUGCCACAGCUAGAUUUCAGUGAUUUUAAGGAGUGUGUUGAUUGUUUUAAGGGAAAGCUCACGAAUACCAGAAAGUUGGGUUCGAAUAGAAGUCAAAACUUGCUAGAAAUAAUUCACACUGAUAUUUGUGGACCAUUUCCGAAUAAAACAAUUUGUGGGAACAGUUAUUACAUAACUUUUAUUGAUGAUUUUUCAAGGUUUUCAUAUGUGUUUUUGAUUUCUGAUAAGUCUUUGGCACUUGACUGUUUUAAAAUUUUUCAUUUGGAGGUUGAAAAACAACUUGAAAAACGAAUUAAGAUUGUGAGAUCCGAUAGAGGUGGUGAGUAUUUUGGCAGGUAUACUGAAACUGGACAGCACAAGGGACCUUUUGCGACUUAUCUUGAACAAAAUGGCAUUGUUGCCCAGUAUACAACCCCUGGCACUCCACAUCAAAAUGGAGUAGCAGAAAGAAAGAACAGGACUCUCAAGGAUAUGGUUCGAUCAAUGCUGGCACUCACAAUUGCCGAUUUUUCUUUGGGGAGAAGCUUUGAAAACUGCUAAUUAUAUCCUGAACCGUGUUCCAAGCAAGUCAGUAAAGUUAGUACCUUUUGAGUGUUGGACAGGGAGGAAACCUAGCUUUAAUCAUUUCCACGUGUGGGGGUGUAAAGCUGAGGCCAGGUUCUAUAACCCUAAUGAAAAGAAGUUGGAUCCAAGAACGACUAGCUGUUGGUUUAUUGGUUAUCCAGAUAAAUCCAAAGGAUUCAGAUUUUAUUGUCCUAAUUCUAGCACUCGCAUUAUGGAAACUAAUAAUGCAAAAUUUGUUGAAGAGGGUUCCAUUUGUACAUUCGCUCGACCAACAUCUGAGUUUGAAGAAACCAUAAUUCCUUCAUUACUUGAUCCGCAAGACAACACUGUCGACGUCACUGAGAUACCACAACCACUGCUGCUCCAAAGUGACACACACAAUUUUCAAGAGGCUGAGACAGUGCUUCCAGAUCAUAAUGAUGAAAACGUGAUGCCCCCAACUGAAAAUACUGUGGUCUUGCCUUCUGUUGUCAUCAAUGAGGCAGCAGAUGUAUCUGUCCUAGUACCAAAUGAGGUUCAACACAAUGCACAACAUAUAAGGCGCUCUCAAAGAACACGAAAGGCAAACAUUUCCUCAGACUUUGUAUACCUCCAUGAGGCUGAGCAUAAUGUAGGUGAUGAGGAUGAUCCUAUUUCUUUCAAUCAAGCAGUUUCAAGUGCUCGGUCCAAACUAUGGUAUGCAGCUAUGGAAGAAGAGCUGCAUUCCAUGUACAAGAAUGAUGUAUGGACCUUAGUUCCCAAUGAUCAGCAAGUAACUAAAGUAAUAGGCUGCAAAUGGGUCUACAAAACAAAAAGGGAUUCUCAUGGACAAGUUGACAAACAUAAAGCAAGACUAGUGGCUAAAGGGUUUACGCAGAGAGAAGGAUUCGAUUACAAUGAAACCUUCUCUCCUGUAUCCACCAAGGAUUCGAUGCGAGUUCUUUUAGCUCUCACUGCACAUUUUGAUCUUGAACUUCAUCAGAUGGAUGUCAAGACUGCUUUCCUCAAUGGAGACUUGGAGGAAGACAUAUACAUGGCACAACCACCAGGAUUUGUUGAAAGGGGGAAGGAAUCAUUGGUCUGCAAAUUGAACAAGUCCAUUUAUGGGCUAAAACAGGCUUCAAGACAGUGGAACAAGAAGUUUGAUCAAGUUAUAAUGGCAGCAGGUUUUCAAGAGAACAAGAUGGAUGAAUGUGUGUAUUUAAAGGUCAGUGAUUCUAAGUUCAUAUUCUUGGUCUUAUAUGUCGAUGAUAUACUAUUGGCAAGCUCGGAUAUAUCAUUGUUACAUGCAACCAAGAAACUGUUAACAGAAAGCUUUGAUAUGAAAGAUUUGGGAGAAGCUCAGUUUGUGCUUGGUAUUGAGAUAAUACGAUAUCGUAGCAAAAGGGUUCUUGGUCUUUCUCAGAAACAAUACAUUGAUAGAGUCAUCAAAAGAUACAACAUGGAGAAGUGCUCUAGUGGCGAAUUACCUAUUGGGAAAAGGGAUAAGAUGAGUACUGAACAAAGUCCCAAAAAUGAGUUGGAAAAGGAAAGCAUGAAGGACAAGCCCUAUGCAUCUUUAGUUGGCAGUUUAAUGUAUGCUCAAGUAUGCACUAGGCCUGACUUAGCAUUUGCAGUGAGUGUACUAGGAAGAUUUCAAUCAAAUCCUGGCACAGCUCAUUGGAUUGCAGCCAAGAAAGUUCUCAGGUAUUUAAAGAGGACAAGGGAUUAUAUGCUGACUUAUAGCUAUGUUGAUAACCUGCAGCUGGUGGCAUACACAGAUUCGGACUUAACUGGAUGCGUGGAUGACAGAAAAUCAACCAACGGUUAUAUUUUCUUACUUGCGGGUGGAGCUGUCUCAUGGAAAAGCGCAAAACAAGGCUCUAUUGCAUCCUCCACUAUGGAAGCUGAGUUUAUUGGAUGUUAUGCAGCGACCAAGCAAGCUAUUUGGUUAAGAAAUAUGGUGAAAGAACUGAGAAUUGUUGACAAUAUUGAGAGACCAUUAAGAAUAUUGUGACAACAAGGCUUCAGUGUUCUUCUCGAAGAACAACAAAAGGUCGUUGGCUUGCAGGCUGAUGGAUAUAAAGUAUCUAAAGGUUAGAGAUGAAGUGAGAAAGGGAACGGUGGACAUUCAACAUAUCAACACUGAGUUGAUGAUAGCUGAUCCUAUGACAAAGGCUUUAUCAGUGGGAGUCUUUAAGCGGCAUGUCUACAACAUGGGCGUUAGAGAGACUUUUGAUUCAGUUAAUGAGUGGGAGUAAGCACUCGAUUAAUUGAUAACCGUUUCUUUCAGAUUUAUUUUGGAUUGUGAUUUGGAUAUUAUAUAUUGAGAAUUAAUAUUUGAAGUUUCUUUGACAGAUAAUUUUGUACUGAUAAAUGAAUCAGUUUGUGUUGUGAGGAACUGGAAUUUUGACUGCCAGUUCUGUACAUCAUGAUCUCUUUGGUAACACAGUGCUCUUAAGUUAAGUGUGUAUGUGAUCAUGGAGGAAAAAUACAGUUUCACUUGUAUUUUUAUUUCCUUGGUUCUGCAUUUGAUUUUAAGAGUGACAGGUUGCUUUAAAAGGACAUGGUUGCAAGCCUGAAAGGACUCUAGUGAUCACCAUGUAUAUUUAUUUCGUUAAGGGGUUCGCAUUGCCAUUCAAGUGGGAGAAUGUAAAACAUUUGUGAAUGGACAAUGAGUUGUGAUGAAAAUCUUUAAGAAAGUAGUUGACUUGGUAAUCAAGUCAAAUGAAAUCUUUAUUCUCAGAAACCUUAAAGGAAUAAAUAUAUUUGGAGUUCUAAUUGUUUGCAAUCAGUUUCGGGACCUUUUAUCAAGAGAAUAUAUAUAUAAGAGUCAUGAUGGGACUCUGAUUGUUUUAGAGGAUAUCAGGGUGGAUAUCCUUUCCGUUAAUAGGGGGGAUUCGAUAGAAACCCUAGAUAUAAAAACAAAGAAGCAGUCCCUGCUUCCAUACCGUUCGAAUCACAAUACUACAGACCUAUUUUGUUAGUAGAAUUCAUAGAGGAGGUAUUGGAAGUAGAAGAUUGCUUCAUCCCUGCACCAGAAGCACAAUGGCGACAGGUAUGUUUUCAUGGCUAAAAGCAUGCACAACGAUAAUGCCAUGCAACAUGUAUAUAAUGACGUAACCUGCAUAUUGUUCUUACUGUAACCCUAAUAGCAUGCUGUUGGUUCCACCGAGCCUUUCGUCCCGAUAACUUAUACAUCCAUCUGAAUUCAACCCAUAACCCCAACCCAAAUCCCACGAUAAAAGCUUCAGUCUCAUGAAAUUACAACCAUGAACUAUGACCCUUUGGUUAAGAUUAAACAUGCUUCAGCCACCACGAGAUCGAAUUGGAUCAGCUGCUGAAACGACGCCGGAUACUUGUAAUCUCUUCCGAUUUGGUUAGAGCUCCGCCUACGAAAUCUGUUUGGACGCCAAAACAUACAUCAAUCAAAAUCUAUAGGGAGCAGAAACACUAAAAGCUAAAAUUCAUUGCAAAUUAAUAAAAUUUAAACAAAAAAGCAAAAACAAUAACGAUUUGAUACAAAAUUUCAUAUCCAGAUUAGUAAAACGAAUCGAAAACAUAUACGAACCUGUAAAUUCGAAUCGAAGAGCGACGAACACAGAAGCUCGAGCUGGUAAAACCGCCUGAAUUCAAAAGCAGCUCAAACCAUCACCUCACAAUCUCAAACCAACAUCAACGCAUAGAUCUCGGCACGAUCGACGCGAAUCCGAUGGAAAUCGACAUAGAAAACAAUCCAUGGAGGGUAAAUCUGGAGAAGAACUCCGGAUGCGCAUUGAGGUUGUGAGAGGAGAGAGAAUAAUUGGUAGCGUGAACCUUGAAUGGUUGAUAAGCAGGCACCCUAACGUAUUUAUAGGAGGAUAAAUUGGAUAGACGGCUGGGAUUGGUUAAUUAUCAUCGUGAUCGACGGCUGGUGUUGAUCAUGUGGUUCGGUAGAUUUGGCGGUGGCGUAACCAUACACGUACUCUGAUGCGCUGGAGACAGAGAAAGCACACCCCAUUUUAUUCACGGACAAGGUUGUCUGCCCUCUUGUUUUCGUGCUCUUUUGUUUUAUGUGGUCACGGUUAAACCACGUUAAUAUUUUAUAUUACUUUUUUUAUAGAGAUAAUAAGACAAAAAUGAAUACUAAUAUAAAAUGUUAACGUUGAUUAACCUUAACCAUACAAACAGGAAGGCAUGAGAGGGUACGGGACCAAAGAGGAUUGUCCUUUUAUUGACCAUAUCAAACACGACAUGUAGUUUAUUACGCCGCCUCGAUAGGUUGUUUGGUGGGAAUCGGAUUCGAUUUUUAUGUGAAUGUUUAUUUUGUUGGGAUAGAGUUCAUAAACAUAUUGGAUUCUAUUUCUAUUAAAAAUAAUAGUUGUAUAAAUAUCUAUUUUGUUUUAUUACUAUAAUUUUGGUUGGUUCUCUAUUAUUCGAUAUAUCUGGGCUGAUGGUUUCUUCAUUGGGCCUUAAGAGUAUUAGGAGAUAUGGCCCAAGCCCGAAAUUAUAGGUUUUUCUGUAUUUGUAACUCGGUUUUAUAAAUGAUUACUUACGUAAAUAUGACUAAUAUAUUGUGUAACUUAUGUACUUAUCACCUGUUUCAGAUGCCCUUUGUUAAAAUGUUGGUUUUUUAUGUGCCUGGUGAUAUUAUUCUUUACUUGUAAGUGAUACUUCUUAGGUUUGAUUCCCAUCAAAGGCAAAUUCGAACAAAAAUAUUAUAGCUAUUUCAUUUUGAGGUUUACCUCACUCCCACCCAUCAGCAUAGAUUAUAGGGGUGUGAUAUCCACACAUCAUUUUUUACUUAUCUCACACCUUUUUGGUUUUUAGUCGUCGGAUCAGAUGAAUUAAAGAAGAUCAACGGACAGAAAUUAACAAGGAGUGUGUGAGAAGUAAAAAUGGGUGUGUGGAUAGCACACCCCUAGAUUAUAUUGUAUGUAUUCAAAAAAGGUUGCUUGUCCCACUCAGUACUAUUGUUUUGUGAUAUUUCUCUUCACUUUGAGAGAUCAUCUCGUGGAUAGCGAAUUCGAUACCAAAUUCGUUUAUCCAUUGUGUGGCUUAGCCGAACUUCCCAUAUCCUUAGUGUAAAAAAAUAUUGAUGUAUUUAUAAAAAAAUAAAAAAUAAAGUUGCUUGUUCGUAAUUUGUUUAUACUUGUUUCCCUUGGGUGUUUUUAAUAUGUAGCAAGCUUUGAUCGUGUUUUGUUCUUGAAGGAAUUUUCACUUUCGGUUGGGUUUGUUACUUGGGCCAUAAGAAACUCUAUCUGGCUUCGGUCUCCUUCUGAUUGAUCGUUGAAGGGGCAUUAACAACUCAAUCCAAUCCGUCUAAAUUGAUGGUUCUUCUGCUCUCAUGGGCAUUUGAGUUUACACCACUUUUGGCAUUCAACUUUUUUAGGGUUUACACGUAUCUUAAAAAUGUUUGCUAUUAGGUUUAACAAAUCGAACCAUGAUGCAAAGUUCACAAUUCAAUCUAUGCUGGGUCGGAUGCAAGUUGCUUUAAACUUUAACGAACGUUAACAUUAACACAUACAAACUAUGAAGAUAAUCCGAAUGAAAAAUCAAGCAAAGAAUGAUUACUUAUUAGCAUUAAUACUUACAUAUAGCUAGGAUUACCAAGAAGAAUUAUAGUUCAAUCACUCAAAUUGAGCGUCCAUGCACUCUUGAUUAUCAACACAUAACAAAAAUAAAAACUUUGGAUGCGGUCUUUAUAAAAAAUGAAAAGGAACUACAUAAAAAGCCACGUAUCCAUGCAGUCGUUUUGUAGAGACAUUAGGGCUAUUGGCAUUGGUUGCUUAAUUAGUUUGUAGAUGCAUUGGCCUGGGUCUGGCAUCUCCCUUUCUCCUUCUCCUUGACUUCGCUUCCCUGCGUCUUGUCAUAAGCAGGGUGAUUCUCAUGGAUCAGCUGAUCCUGUUCCGUCUUCGGAAAAGUCUGAUUGUCCGAAAACACUCCUCCAAAUCCUUCUUCAUCGGACCUUGUCGCGUACCCUUCCCCAAAUGAUUGGGACAUCACAUCUCUAUAUAUAUAAGAACGUACAUUAAGUGAUUACAUUUAGCUACUAAUCAUAAACAAAACUUUCUUGAACUGUCUAGCAUCAUAAAUUGCUUACAUUGUACGACUGUCAAUUUUUAUAAGGGUCUUUAUGAAUCUAAACGUUGAUUCUAAUGAAAGUUUAAGAGUGAUUAAACUUGACCGUUAAUAGGAUAAUUUUUGUUUGAAUGUACAUCUCAAGCUAUGGAAAAUAUAUGAUAUAUCAAACAAUACGUUUACUAGAAAGUGCUUUUAGAAUAUAGUUAAAAACACUUUUAAAGCACAAAAAAACAAAUAUUCGUGAUAAUUUUUGGCAGAGAAAGUAUUUGUGAUUUUUUUUAUUGGAAAGUUAGUGAGAAAUAUUUUGUCAAGAACCACUUGAUUUCUUAUUAUGAGUCUCGUAGUAUUGCUUAUAAGUUAUAACAUCAAUUUCAAAAAAAACGUUCACGAACAAAAUUGUUCGAAAAAAACACAUUCGAAAAAGAAUCCAUCCUCGAGCAUGACAAGAUAACAUUACCUGCACACAAAAGCUAGAAAAUUUUGAGUACCACAAGGCAAUGAGCAACUAACCCAGUUUUCUGAUCGGGACACUCUGCCUUGUUCAUGUUGUGUUUACUGUUUGGAUCGCUAGAAAUAGUUGUGGCCUGCCUUAAUACGACUCCGGAAGCAAUCCGACCCGAGUUCGACGGUGCUCGGAUUUGGGUUCUGAGUGAUUUUACUGCAUGAAUCAUCUUUUGCAUUCUUACAAAAAUUUUACAGCUUGCUAUAAAUACAUGAAGAAAAACUUACGACGAUGAACCAGUAAAUACAUGCGGGUAAAAUUGUCAAGUCCCCAAGUGGCAAAUAUGUCCGGUUCUAUGGGACGGAAGUUCAAUUUCGCCCAUCAAAACUAGAAAUAAAUGGAUUGUAGCGAAUAAUGGUACACCGCACACUCCACUUUCUAAUUACAAUUUAAAUGUAGGUUUUGUUUGUACCGCAUUUAGCGGGUAAUGUCUCGUCUAGCGAGUAAUGUGGUUGCUUGUUAACGAUGGUUUGAUGUGGUCUCGCUUAUUGGCAGUGUCAUUACAUGUGCCUAAUUAGGUUCAUUGCGUAUUUGUGAUGGAGCUAAACUUGUGCACUUUUGCUAAUACAUAAUCCUUGUGGUAGCCAAAUUGGGAGGAUUAUCCUUAUGCUUGUUUGUGCGAAUUAUAUUUACAUCAUUGAAUUGGUCUAAAGAAUGUAUCUAUGUGGGAACCCUUGUACUUGUUCUUAUCUGUUAAUGAUAUCACUAUCGUUUUCUGUAAAAGAAAUAAAGUAUACAACAUGAUUAAUAUGUCUCGUGUUACCCUACACGUGUUGUACCAUUUUACUUUCCUUAGAAAAAUCUCCCAUCGUGUUGUAACCGUUCACUUGAUCGUGAACUAAAUUAAUAUGUCUCGUGUUACACCACACUACACGUGUACCACUUUACUUUCCUUAUGUAGUGAAAAAUCUCUCAUUGUGUUGCAACAGUUGACUUGAUUGUGAACUAUCUCCAACCACGAGAUGAGAAAACUAUGACAUUAAUUAUUUAUUAACACAAAAUAUUUACAUACACCUACAACAAGCUGAGUAAUAAAUUACACGGAGGACAUAUAGUUAACCACUCGAACCAGACUCUCACACGAGUCUGGCAUUUGCUCUUCAAAAAACAAACGACACAUGCAGAUGCAGCGUGCUGUAUUUUAUCUAUGCAGAGGGACUCGUCUUGUGUCGGGCUUUCUCCUUCUCCUUCACUUCACUUCCCGGCGACUUGUCGUUGGCCGGAUGGUCGUCAUGGAUCAGCUGAUCCUGCUCCGUUAUAGCCCCGUAUAUCCCACCAUAUCCUUCGUCCUCGCACCUCGAUGCAUACCCGACCCCGAAAGACUCCAACAAAAUGUCUCUGAUAGUGUUCAUAUACAAACACCUUAGUCAACAGAUUUAAACCACCAAUUUUGACACUCAAAGUUUUAGCCACUGAGGAACGUACACCUCUCCUGAUUUUGCACUUUUUUUUAAUAUUUUCAAUCAGCAAACUCAAUAUUCUAUUAUUUUUACCAAUUUUUCUGUACCACUUUGUUAUAUAUAUAUGUAAAAUAUACCAAUCUAUUUUAUGUAAAAUGUCCCUAUUUUAUUAUUUUAGAAAGUGAAUCUAUUCACUUUUUCUUUUUUAUAUACGCAUAUUUUGAAAUGAAAUGUAUCUUUUUUUUUAAUUUAACACACACCACUAUUUAAAAAUAAAAAUAAACAUUUUACUUUUAAAAAUUAAACAUUCAUAUUCAGUAUUAACCUGUGCAUGAUUUUAAGAAUAAUUUAAUAAUUUAUGUUAUUAAAUUUCUUAAUUAAUACUGAAAUUUGAUAUUUAAUCAAAGUAUUCAAAUUAAUAAAGCUUUCGACCUAAAAUUUUAAUCAAUCAAAGACGAGAACCAAAAUUUCCACAACAUAAUCGGCAUAUUAUUGAUAGAUUAGCCACGUUAUCGACACAAAGUUCUAUCUUUUCUAGUCAUGAAUUUGAAAAAAAUACAAGUAUAUGUAAAAGAAAAUAUUCUAACCCAGUUUUCAGAGUAGGUUCCUCCUGCUGCUUGUCCAUGUUACUGUUCUUACUAGAAACGUGAACACUUGCAGCCUGCUUGAAUCGGACUCGGGUAGCUUUCCGGCCAAAGUUUGACGGCAGCGGCGGCGUGAAUAUCAAACCUGGCGGUUGUGGUCUAAUCAAUCUGAUCGCGGUGAUCAUCUUUUGCAUCUUCAAAUUUGCGCUGCUUUGCUAUUUAUACUCAGAGGUUGAAACUUGUGUUGUUUUAUACACUCACGCAGUGUAAAAAUCUGAAGUCACCAGAUUUCUCCGACUCUUGUAGGAAUAUGUUACCAGAAGCCUUGUUCUCGCGUCAUGGUACAUGGUGAUGUGGGGACACGUAUCGAAUUUUGGAGAGAAAAGUGAUUACGUAGCAAUUCAAGUGCGCACGGCACUACAUGCCAUUUGAAUCUUGACACGGUUUUUUGCUGGGAAAAGAUAAGGGAUACGGAUGAGCAACGACAUGGGCAGGUUUUAUUGGUUGCCCCUGAGGGAAAGAAAGGUAUAACCAGUGUAUAAAAUAAUAUUCUUUGAUUGAAACCUUGUUAGUUUUUAGUUUUUGAUUGAGGUCCCUAACAUUAAUGUAAUAAUGUAAGUUACUAUAUUUUUUAAAUUAAAAAUUAAAAAUUGAAAUUUGUAAUUGUUUAUAUUAAUGAGAUUUUAAAUAAAACCUAUAAUUUAUGGGAUUAAAAAUAAUAAAAUAUAAAUUAUACUCUAUUAUAUUGUGUGUGUACAUAUAUGUAUGGGUACAGUAACCAAAAUUAACAAAAAAGGUUAUUGUACCAAAACAUGGAUACAUUCUCAAAUCAACGAAAAAGAAUGUACCUAUAUAAGUUUAAACAUGGAUUAAAAAAUUUGAAUGGAUUUUAUAUUAAAAAAAAGGGUACAUUUUACAUAUAACAAAUUGAUAUAUUUGAGAAUGGGUACAUUUAAGAUUAAAAAAAAUUGAAAAAUUAUAUGAAUGGGUACAUUUAAGAUUAAAAAAUUGAGAAUCUUUUUAUAUAUAAAAAAAACUAAUAGGUACAAACUUAAUUUAAUUUAAUUUUUUUAUUAUUUUGGAAAUGUUUGAAUUGAAAAUUAAUUAGAAGUUUAAUAGAGGUGUGAGUAUUAAACCCUAAAUUAAUUACUAAUUUUUAUAUUAAAAAAUUAUAUAAUAAACAUGUAAAUUCAUUAUCACAUUCAUUGACACACCCCGUCCCGAAGGAGGGCAUGCUGGCCGUCACGUGAGAGUGACGUAACCAUUUGCACAGUACGGAAGCUUUAAGAUACAAUUUAUAAGUUGAUACACCCGAAGGUGAGUCCUAAUUUUGUCCAAUCUGUCAGAACACCGUCGAAUUCCUCGUAGUCACCACACCUUUGUGAUUCCUGAACCUGGAGGGGCGCAAAACCAAAAUUGAGUGGGUCAGUAAAACAAUUCUUUUCCAAAUCCAAACAUUUCUCAAAACGUUAUAACCCCUCUCCGUAAAACUUGUAUACUUUCCCAGAAAUGUAAAAUAUAAAUAUACAUAUAUAUUCUCAAUACUUCAAUUCAUUAACUCAACAUUUUUCAGUACAAAUAUGUCAUGCCAUGUCGGAAUUCAACAGUUAAGUAUGAAUGCAUCAACAAUAAUUAUAUCAGGUGCAAAAAGUAAUCAACCGGAGGCCCUCUAAUAGCCUUGUACGGUUGAACCUAGAGCUCAAAAUCUAUCACUCUCACUCUGCCGGAGUCACCUCUGUGACCUGUCCGGCCUUCUGCACACAAGUUACGCUCUAGUGCUUCUCUCAUCAAUCAUCUGUGCACAUAAUCUAAGGUCACCCACCAGUCGAAAUCUCACUAACACUCUUCGACUGGCCUGUCGCACCCACUCCGCGUGGACUGUGCGACCAGCAUCUACUUGGAUCCAAGGCGAGCGUGCGAUGCGGUGAAUACUAUAAGCACUAAACCAUGGUGCAGGAUUUGAGCUCAAUAUAUAUCAACAUCAUCAUAACAGUAUUUAAAUACUCACCUGAUACUCACCUGUGCGUCCGCCGCACCAUUCAUUCAUAUGCAUCAUAUCUCAAUUCAUACUUUUCAUAUCAUUUCAUGCAUGGCAAUUCGAUUCACAUUUCUAUAUACUUUGCAUAUACUUUUAUGCAUGGCAUCUCAAUUCACAUUUCAAUAUACUUUUCAUAUAAUUUUAUACAUUGCAUUUAAAGCAUACUUUCAUGCAUUUUCAAUUUCUGGGAAAACGGUAAGUAUAUAUGUAUACGGAAAACAAAACUGCCCACUCACCUGGAGUUCGCCCUACAACUCCCUAGCACAAUACGCCAAGGCGUCAUGACGAUCGGCGCCUAAAACAAUAAUCAAUUCUAACCUCAGAAUUCAUAUCGAUAGAAUAUAUAUCUUAUAUAAAAUACGUCACUAUGUAGUUCGAUCCGGAAGAUCCGCCACUCAGAUUUUAAAUCCAUAACUUCUAGAGGUCCACAAUAUAUCUCUAGGAUAACAUCCUAAAAUUUCAUCACCAUCCAACGGUCGGAUCUCCGUCAAAUAACAAAACUAAGUGACGGUUAACAUGUUAUUUUAUGAACUUACAACUCCAAUUCCGGAAGAUCCGUAACUCAGAUUCCCAAUCCGUAAGUUCCAAUAAUCCUCAAAUAUUACGUAUUACAACGUAUCAAAGUUUGGUAACGAUCCAACGGUCAGAUCAUCAAUUCACAUUUUCACCUAAAUGCAAAAACUAUAAAAAGUUAUUCGAACACCUAACCAACAAUCCUUAAUAACUUUCUCAUACGGUGUUCAAUUUGGGUAUAUGAAUAUACCACAGUGAUCUACUCGACGUCACGGACGUUGAAAUUUUUUUAAAAUAAUUUUUUACUGUAGCACGCUCCCCCACGCGCCAAGGAAGGCACGGACCUACGCGCCCCCACGCGCACCUUCUUCUUCCUUGGGUCGCCGGACUGGUUUCCCGGCGGCCGUUUUUCAAAUUGCCAUAACUUUGUCAUUUCUCAACGAAAUCAAAUGAUUCAAAAACGAAAGUUGUAGCCCUUGAAGAGACAAAGAGACUGGUACCUUGCACAACACCUAGUUCGCCGUGUUUUUGCCGGAAACUUCCUCGAAAGCCUCGGAGGUCGCCGGAAACUGGGUAAGAUUCAAAUGAGUAUAACUUCUUCAAUACUCAACGAAAUUGAGUGAAAAAAAAGGAAAGUUGUAGUACUUGACGAGACAAAGAGAUUGAUACCUACCUCGACUCCUAACUCGCCGGGGAUUCGCCGGAAAAAGCCUCGAAAGCUCCGGCCAAACUUUGAACUUGUCGAUCUCCGUGUUCUUACGUCCAAAAACUUCCAACGAAGCACUCCGAGCUUCCUUGGGACCUCACUAAGCUCGCUGUGAUCUUUUUUUAGCCUAAAACGUAGUCAUUUAGAAGAUCAUGAACAGUACCAUUUCACGGGAACUUUGAAACUAGGGUUUUCCGAAGCAAAACUUACCUGAAAUGGAUACCAUCGUGAUCGUGGAGGUUCCAGGAGUUUGAUGGUGGUCUUAACUCCGUCGUUGGUGGAAGUUUAAGGUUGUUUUGUGGUUGGUUUGUUCGAACGGAGAAGAAGAGUGACAGAGAGAGUGAGAGAGUCGUGAGGGAAGAGAGAGAGACAGGGUACGGGAAAUAGGGAGGGAUUUGAGGUGUGUGGUCUUACCAAAACCCCAAAUCACAAAAUUCCAUCUCCAAAUAACUUAGGAACAUAUAUUUCACCAAUAUAUAAUUCACAUAUCUUAAUCACGUUUAAGGGCAAUUCCGUCAAUUUACAAUCACGAGUGUAAAACUUUGGGACGGGCUGUGACAUUCAUGCUAGGGACUUGAAUCAAAAUUUGAGAACUAACAAGGUCUUAGUCAAUGAACAGUAAAAACUAGGGACCAGAUACUAAUUUUUCCUAAAAAAAAUAGCCUGUUUAGUUUUUCUUAUUGGAUAAGCAAUAAAGUACGGAUUUUUUCCCCAGCCCCUAAGAUCAUCUUCAAUGAUUGUGCUAAAAGUAAAAUAUUUUAGUCCGGAAAAUUUAGCUUUUAGCCCAGAAACAGUUUUUCUGCUCCAACCGUUCUAGCCUAAAAUUUUUGCCCGGGAUUAUUUUUUUUGUUAAAUUAAUUUUUUUUAAAUAAAUAUGUAGACUAUCAUAAAUUAAUUUUAUGAACAUUUUAAUAUAAAAAAUAAUUAAAUUCAUAUUUUUGGGCUAAAUUUCGGGAGGAAUCUGACUUUGGUUUAGCAUUUAGCCCAAAUUUUCCCCUUGGGUUGGAAUGGGUUUGGAGAGAAAUUUUGGGGGGUAGUUUGGCUUUUAGCCCACCAUUGGAGAGAUUUUUCGGUGUGACCACUACACGGAGUGGUACACCACGUGUUACUAUGCAAAUUGUGGAAUAUGUGUACUAAAAAGUUAAUAACUUAAAAAAUAAAAUUUCCCACCACUCAUAUUAAAACAAGUGGUGUACCACUUGUGUUCCCGUUACAACUAAAAAUUUCUUCUCUGAGGAUAUGUCAAAUAUAGUAUGUCAAAAUUUUAUUUGAUGACUGAUGUGCAAAUUGAAUACAAAUGCUAAAUCUUCUUCUUUUCCAAUGGAUGUGUCAAAUAAUUAUUUUUUUAUUUUAUUGGGCCUAAAGUUACAUUAACUAUUAAAAAACAAUCAAAAUUAAUUUUAGUUUGUAUUAUAUGAGUUGUUAAUGCGACUCAUACAUUAAAAAUUAAAUUAAAUAUAUUUGACUCUUUUUUUGUUUGCUGUAAAAAAAGGCAGCUAGAAAGUAAGAAGUCAAAUGACUCCAAUGCCACAUCAUAUAUGGUAUAUCCAUUGAUGAACAUUUGAAUGUCUUUUAAUCCUAUUUGAUAUAUUUGACAUCUCCUUUGAAGAUAGUCUAAUUAUCUCGCAAUCUCUUCUACAGCCAACCUAACAACAAUAACAGAAGCGGUAGGAAUCAGUGUAUUCAGGUUAAGUUCCUCGUACCCUAGAAAAUGAAAUAAUUAAUGAUACAAGCAACAACUGAAUUAUGACUUGGCCCACGUAGCUCAUAGUUGGAUUGUUGAUUCUUUUGAUAGUGUUACAGUCUUAUAGUAUUAGUUUCACAAUGAACUAGUAAUAAUGUGGUUAAAAUUCAUCUUAGACGAAAAUCGAAUAUAAGAUCUUUCACUUACAAAUAAAGAAAAAUACUAAUAGACCGUAGUACUAAGUGACUCACAUUAACUGCACAAACCCGUGCCUACAAACAAAUAAAAAAAGAAAAAAAAAACUGCUCCACUGUUGACAACUGUGUGGGUUUAGACUAGUCGGUGUCGUUGUUCAUUCUAUAGGAUAAAAAGCCCAAUGUUUUCCAGCCCAGAACGCAGCCUAUAGCCUCCACUGUUGACAACUAUGGGCUACCCCCAACUGGACCCAUUAAACCCAAUAGAAUGUUGUUUUUUGUUACGUUGCCUUGGUGUCACCGUAGUGUGCGAGUGUAAAUCAGAACUAAGAACUUAUGUAAACAAGAUACUGUCAUACUGUCAUCGUAGUGUUCCAAAUUAAUUAUAUCGUGUCACCUCGUUUGAGAUUUUACUAAAAUCUUUUAGUUGCCUUUCCGAUUCUUGAAAGGUGCAUGCAAAGUCUUCUCAUUCACAAGAUUUAAGUUGGUUUACCACAAAAAACAACGUUCUCAGAACAGUUGGAACAUCAUGAAAUCAGAUGAGAUCAAAAUACCAAAAACUCAUGUGACCAGAUAGUUUGCCGGGGAACUUUUUACGUCACAGCUAGACCUGUAAACGGGUCGGGUUUAUUGGGUUUGGGUCGGGUUCAACCCAACCCGUUAAGCUAACGGGUCACCCGUUAUCACCCGUUAACAAUUAUUAUUAUUAUUUUUUUUUAAUAAAGUUUAUUUUUUGUUAUCAAGACUUUACUAAAAUUACUAAAAUAUCCUCAACUAACGGGUGUUAACGGGUCUAACGGGUUGACCCAAAGUGACCCGUUAUUUAACGGGUUGUUAACGGGUUCACCCGUUAGUGACCCGACCCGUUAAGCAUCCACCCAAAUACAAAUAUUAACGGGUUGGGUCGGGUCGGGUUAACGGGUUGGGUCCAAAAUGCCAAGCCUAGUCACAGCUGCAGCAAAAUGGUAGAGCCACAAUCUUUGGGUUACCUAGUUUUACAGGAAGGUAAGGGAAUUUAUGAGACAUGCCGUGUGGACAUUCCAUAGAAUUCAACUACAAUUUGCAGUCGAUUCAACGUAAGAUGAUCUUGUCGAUGACAACCUUUUAGUCUCUUUACUUUCGGCAGCGUUAGUAAAUAUGAGUCAUGAUCCAGUCAGCCAAUGCAUAUCUGACAUGUCACUAUCUUAUGCUACUACAAGUCAACAAGUGCGAAGGAAGGUGGUCCCACAUGACCGUUGCAGCAUGCGAUGUCAUCAUCUCACCACAUUCUAAAAUCCAGCCUUGGCAAGACGAAGUUAGAUUCUCUCGCUUUGUUUUUUCAAAUAUGCAGCUGAUCUUUUCAGCAGCUAAGUUCAGUUAAUUUUUUUUUUCCUUCUCUUUUCAUUUAAUUGAAGGGCCAUGAUUAAGUUAAAAUUUAGUUGGAAUUAUGUGAGUGAGGGAGCAGAGUCAAAAGCGAACAAAUAAGAUUCAGACGUUACCAUUUUGUAUUAACUUCUUUAAAAAAAGAAAAAUAAAACAUAAAAGUGUGAAAAAAAAUGAGAGGAAAUGAGUUAAAAAAUAGAAGGAAGAAAAUCCUUCUUGCGAACGACCAACCAGACCCCAAAAUAUUUGGAGAAUUGGACUUAGUUGUUGCUUAUGACCAAUUACGAUUGAACACGUGUUCAAGUUUUAAUUAAAAAAUAAAAAUUUAGAUACGUAUCUAGCUAUGAUUGAUUGUAAACAGCUGCUGAUGCUGAUCGGAUCAGCAACGAAGUUCUAUCCGUAUUUGGGUAGCGGAAAGUAUGAUUUGAUCGGAUGAGAGUCGUGCAAUUGCAAACUGCAAAGCAAACGCUUCCUAUAUUAUCAACAGCUUUUGGCUGCAAAAGACUAGUCAAGGUUUUGACUAAACCCUUCAAUCCUCUUUGCACUAUUCCAUUACCGUUGUCUAAAGUUCUCACCUUUUAACCCCAACUAUAUCUAUAUCCCAACUAAAAAGAAAAAAUCUUUUGUUCAAAAAAAAAAAAAUCUAUAUUAUUUUGUUUUAUGUACUAAAGUACUUUAAAAAUCUUUAGAAUUUAUAGAUUGAAGUACUAGAUUCAGUGUUUUAUUGUGCUAAGACAAUAAAUUCUCCUCACACGGACACAGUGUGAGUUAAACAUUUACGAAAGUUUGUAAGAUGAUAUCAUUUGAGCUUUAACAAUAGUAAUAAGGUAUACGCAUUCUUUCGACAUGUUCUUAAUCAGUAAAUAUGUCUAGGUACAAUAUACAAUACACACACAUGGCAUUUUUUUGACGAAAUUGCACCCCCAAUUUCUUAGUGUUGGGCUCUUUCACUUGGCCGUUUUUGAAAAUUCACAUGUCACAUAACAAUGUUUGAAUGGCCAAAGGCAUUUCCAGAAGAGUUCUCUUUGACACACGUACACUAGAGUAACCAAAAAAAAAAACUGGUAACUCUUGUCAAUUACUUCCAAUUCCACCAUUUAUUAGUUCAUGACCUUCAGAUUAUAACUGAGUUAACCAGUGCCUUAGCUGUCAAGUUACCAAAUCAGGUGGUCUUGGGGACAAUUGGUGAUGAACACAUACCUCUUUCAAGUAAUUAACAGCAAAAAUUUUACUAGGUUGAGCCACUACAUAUGCAAUUUGCUGGACUAAUUAAAUUAAUUAGUUAAGAAAGAUAAAAAAUAGUUUAUUUGUUUUACUUACAACGCGAUAUUUCAAAUUGUUUGAACUUACAAAGAGAACCAAUCGUAUUUGGGUACUACGAAACUGACAUUUUACUUUGAAGAUCAACUCGUCUUGCUCACAUUUGCUCGAAGAUACAAAUUCUAAGUUUGAAACAACCAUUUGAUCAUUUCUCGCCACUUGUGAGAAUGAUAUGUCGCAUUGUAGUUGCAGAGUGGAGGGGCUAAUAAGGGUCUAUUUUUGCAAUUCAAGAAGGGAUUCGUGUUCUACAAGUAAACUGAGCAAAAAGAUUGAAAGAGACUUAUACCGAACCCCACAUUUGUGAUUUUUAGCAAAAAUAGGACCCUAACCCAAGGCAAAAUAUGAAAUUUCUAUAAACUCAAACGUUUCCUUUUACAAUUGAGUCCUGAAUUGUCACAAUCGCUAGGACCUUAAGCAGCAGCAUUAUUUGUCAUGCGGUCCACUGCAUUUUGGCCCCACUGAUUUUGUACACUGACUAGGAAAGGCAAUGCUUCUCCUCCUCAGCUGGUUCAAUCCCCCUCUCUCUCUUCGCUCGAGAGGUCGAGAUCCAGAGGGAAAGAGGAAUUGAUCGGAGAUUGAACGGGACCGCCAUUAAUAUUAGAAUCGAGAAGAUAACUUGGACCCAUGGAUUUGAAGUUUGAAGUCCAAGUCAUUGUCCUUGCGCUGGUUUAAGAAAAUUGAUUACGCAACCCUAAAGCAACAGCCUCUGAAUAUGGAAAGGUUUCCGCUGCAGGAGAAGAAAGAUUUUUGUGGCAGAUUGCUUUUGCUUGCAGGCCGUCCUCCUCGGAAGGCCACUUUACAGUCACUGUCGAUAUUGAAGCAAUUAAAACUGUCAUAUUUGAUCAUUUACUUCUUCUGCAAGUCACAAAAAUGAAAAAUCCGAUGCCUUAUUGCAUAAGCAUUGAAAAACCCUAAUGUGGACACCAGUUAAGAAUUUAAGGAGGUAAAAUAUUGAGUCUACUGUGAGAGGGAGACUUACCUACACCGAAUAAAUCAUUGUCGUUGUGAAUCUCAAAUCAAUAUGCAAUUCUAUAUAUAUAUAUAUAUAUGUGUGUGAGAAAGUUGAGACAUAGAGCAAUGCGGUGAUAGUUAGGGUUUAGGGUGAUGUUAGUUUAGGAUAACACCACAAAUGCAUAGUUUAGGAUAACACCACAAAUGCAUACCUUUUGAUAAUAUGACAUGCGCUGGAUGAAUGAAGUGUGGAAUAAGCAACCAAUAAUCCAAUAGUUAAGAAACCAAUAGCCUCGGAUGCCGGUGUAGUAUGCGCAAAUGUAUUAUGUAAAAUCCCUGCAUAUUGGUAUUAGUUUAGGAAAUUAAGAUGGAUAAUCCUAAGGUAGUACUCACUUUCUGAUUUGGCCUAAUAAAAAAAAGUUACAUGUUCCUUUCUUUCUUUUUUUUUUUUUAUAUAUUUUUGAUAGAAAAAUAAAGCUAAAGUCUGUAAGCAAUGCUCCCAAAAGUGGGGGUACGAUAAGGUGAGACCAUGGUGUGCCAAAGGCAUCAGCUACAAAAUUUGUUUCUUUGUACACAUGGUUCCACUGAAUACAAUUGAACUCAGAGCCCAACUAUUUUAUGUCUUCAAUAAUGGAUUUCAGGUUCCACCGAGCAUUCCAAAUUUACCAGCAGUUAAAGAAAACCUUACUUAAGUUACAUAAUUCCUCCUUUUAUGUAGAAUUCCAAAUUAAUUCCAUACAGUUUUUGCAUAUUGGCAGUUAAGAAAUAAGUGAACUUGAUCCUCUCCAUUUUUAAUAAUUUACUCAGACGUUUUCUAAUUUGAAGCCUCUCGUGAAUUAGAGCUCGUUUGGAUGUAUUUUUAAGAUGACUGAAAGCGUUUUUGUUGAAAAUGUUUUUAGAACUAAUUCUUAGUAAAAAUGCAAGUAUAUUCUAGAAAAGCAUUUAAAGUGCUUCUUAAAAGAAGCACAUAACUGUUGCUUCUUGCAGAAAGCACUUUAAGUGCUCUUAAAACCAAAAAACAUUUUCUCUAAAAACGUUUUCAGUUAUUUUAAAAGCACAUUCAAACGAACCCUUAGAAGCCAAGGAAACAUUUUCACCUUUGGGAGAAUCAAUAGUUUCCACAUUUUCUUUAGUAACUUCUGUCUAUUCUCAUGCCGUUGGUUAUGACUCUGCAACCAUUAACCAAGUUCCAGUCUUAAUUGAAAAUUAUCCAUUAGUUGACGCACCCUACACAAAUCUAUCAUUGGAUUGUGCAAAGGAUAAAAGAAUAACAAUGUCCUGAUCAACAACUUCAAUCGGAUGAUUUCUAUCCCAACAAUUAUUGUCAAUAAAAUCACCGACUCUUAACUCCCGGUUCAAACUUGUCCACUGAUAUGUUCCUUGUUUUUUAAGUCCUAAGAAAAAUUAAACAUGUCCGUUAUAUUUUAAAACAAUAAAACACGUGUUAAAUAUUAUUGAACGAAUUAAAAAAAAUAAAUACUAGUGUCCAAGUAUGAUUAGUUGUUAUUUUCCAGUCUUGAAUUGACUUGAAUUGAAUAAAUUAAACGGGUCCAAAACGAGAAAACGAGAGUGAAAAUCACUACUCAAAGAAUUAAGCUGAAAUUAAAUAGCAACUAAACUCAAUAUCAAGAUUCAAAUUUACAAACAGAAUUACAGAGAACAAAGGGGGCCGAACCCUUUUACCCUUUCAUUUCAAUGCCCUUUUUUUUCUUCUUUACAAUUAGUCAUAUUUCAUAGUUUUAAACGUCAAACCUGUAAGAAAAGCCCCAACCAAGAAGCCAAAAAACAGAGGAAGUUGAAAAAACCUAGGAACCAAACUACGAAAUUAACAAGCAAUUUGCCACCCAACAAGCUCAAAAUUAACACUGAUGGUAACUACUAACUGUUAGGGUUUUCACCAAGGCAGGGUCUUGAGUUCCAUCUCUGAUUUCCGUCAAUGGCUGUCAAUGGCGUACUGAAACUAACAGGCUCCGGCCCAGAACAAAAAAGACCUGGCGAAAACCCGAUAACCCGAUUUCGAAAUCGAAGCAAAACCCAUUAACGCCAUGAAGAAACCGUGAACAGAGGAACUUCAUUCCAGGACAAAGAGAGAAACCCAGGUGGAGAUUCACUUAGAGAAUACAAAGAACUGUAGUUGUAGUUCCAGAGCAGGAUUUUCGCUUGGCUGACGGAGUAAUGGCUGAGGGCUACCGGCUCAAAGCCGGAGCAUUCCAUCAGAUACUUCCACUGCUCUUUGUCUUCGAACCGUUCUCUUUUGGUUCCCGGUUGCUCCGGCCCGACCAAGCUGCCAAUUCGUCGACCCAGCAAAAGCCUCUCCACUUUCAGCCGCUCCGGUGAGUCUCGGAUCAUGUUCGGCUCCAACGAUUCGAACAGCGCAGCGUAAUACUUCAAUGCGUUCUUGAACCGGCUGGCAAACCCGACCCGGUUCAAAUUCGCUUCGUACUCGCCCAAAGUCACAAUCUGUGGGUUCAGAGACUUCGCCAGCUUCAGAGCCGAUUGAACUGCUGUUGGUUUCUCGUCAAGCAGGUUGUACAAUUGGAGCACCAAGUUCACAGCCAAGGCCUCGUCCGGGUCCACCCGAACGCACGAUUCGUCAAGCUGGUGAACCGGAGUCAGAAUCGGUUCGAACUCGAAGUUGAGCUCCAGAAGCGUCGCGAACUCUCGGAGUCGAUUUCCAGUAGCAAUUAGCGAGGCCGCCGGAGAAUCCCCAAGAGAAGGAGCGGGUAUGCCAGAGAUCCGAAUACUGACUGGUUUUCCGGUGGACCGGGUCGCGAGAGCCUGCAGCAGUGCCGCCCAUUGGACCCCUUGGACGAUUCCGAAGUCGACUAUGUGGAGCUUGGUAGCUCUCUCCGUCGCUUCGAGUAUCGCUUGGUUCGCCGUUAAAUGGGCGAACUUGGAAUACGGGCAUGCGUCGUUCAGGGCCUUGUACGACAGCGUGAAGUCCUCGCAAGGAGUGUCGUGCGCAGUCGUAAAGCUCUUCUCUGAUUGCAGAAACGACACUCUAUUUUGCAGCGCUUCUGCGAAGUAAAAGGCGACUCUUUGAGUUGGAUCUCCGUGGUCCGAGAUCGAUUCCCUGAGUCGAACCAGAGACUUGACGGCGCCGUCGGGGUCGGACUCGGCGAGCCUGGCGCAGUCGAGGAGGGCUUUUAGCAGCGGCGGUUCUGACUCGAUCUCGGGCGACCUUAACGACACUCCGACGGCGUCGUUUUGGAGUGACUGAGGGUCGGUUGAUUUGGACUCCUUAACCGAAACCUGGUGUAGUUGCUGUGGCAGCGGUGAAGUCCACGCUGGCAAUUGGUUCUGGGUCUCGGAGAAUAUGACUCGGUUGAGAUCUGACGGCGGAGAACAGGGAUUGCUGAGUCGACUCGGGCAGUGGGGUCGAAACGGAUCGGCGCCGUAGAGACCGAAAUCAGAAUUGCUCCCCUGCCACGUGUCGCAAGCAGAAGGCAGGUUGGAACUAUCCGUUGAAUCCCCACCGCCUAUUAUGCUAUCCAUCCACUCGUCCGAGUCGAACUCGGCCGGGCCACCGCCGCCCAAAUCCGAAAACCUAAACCCGGCGGAGUGGUGAUCCAAGUUAGGAAACGGAAACCCAGGCUCCCCACCGGCGUCGGAACUUCCCGGAAGCUGAAACGGGUCUGAAAACCCCGACCCGGUCAACCCGAAGCCCAAAUUGGGGCUUUGAGUGGGAGUGUGGUGGUUGUUGUUGGGCCAUGGAGUGAGGGAGAAAGCACCGAGCGGCGGCUGGUGGUGAUGGUGGCGCUGUUGCUGCUGCUGCUCCUGCUGCUGCUUCUGCUGGAUGACUUGCUGGGCAAUCGCCAUUAGAUUUCCACUGUCCGCGCACAUAUAUGCCAUUCUCCGGCCGAAAGGAACCGGAAAUCACUGCACUCACAUUACAAAAACAGAAACCCAGGAUCAGAAAAUAGCAGGAAAGUGAGUUCGAGUGCGAAAGAUUGAAACUUUAUAGAGUGCGAGUGGAAGUGAGAGGGACAGAGAGGAGUGCAUACACAACACUAGAGGUCCAGAAACAACGGGUUCACAACUUGGUUUUUGCCGAGAGCUAGAGAGAAAGCGUGUGAGAGGGAGAAGAGUAAACUACAAAGUGUGAAGUGUGUAAAAUGGCCUCGUUUAUUCUUAUUAUUUGAUUUUAAUAUAACGAAGGAAAAGAGGACAAGCUAAAAUCUCAAAGAGAGUAUGUUAGAUGGAUCAAUUUUCAGUUUAUAGUUGUAAAUUAUAAGGAAAAUUAAUGGAAAAAUGUUUGAAAACUUUAAGUUACAGCGAUAAGAACAAAAUAAAUGGUGAAGUGAAUAGUAUUAUGAUUGACUUUUUAGUAUAAAAAUAUGGGUUUUUUUAUUUUUUAUUAAAGUAAAUGGUACCAGGAACUUUUCGUUAAAGUUUUAUAAAUUAUAUGAUAUGUUAUCAAUAGAAAAUAAAUAUAUUUAUGAAUAUUUAAAUAAUAAUUUAUUCAACAAUCACAUCAUAUAGUUUAAAUAGAUAGUCUCCUUAACAUUUCCUACAACUUAUAAGAUACGGUUUACUACACUACAAACAGACGUUUAUGAUAUUUCAGUGACAUAAGACACUACAGUGAGGUAAACUUGUUAGAUAAAUGUAUUUUCCCACUCAAAAAGUUGUUGGGGACCAUAUUUCCGUCUACUUCAUAAACGAUUUCUAAUCAAUUUCCUUGUUGGAUUCAUAAAUAUAAAAAUUUAGAAUUUCAGUAUAGAAAAAAUUAUCGGAAUUUGGGGCCUCCAAUCCUGAAGUUCAAAUUCAUGUAAAUGAGUGUCAUUUCCAAAUUUCUAUAAGUGAUAGUUCAAAAGUCAAAAAUCCAUAUUCAAAUUUCAUUGUUCUUUUAAGUUAACUAACCAAUAAAAUUCACAAAUUAUAAAAAAUAAAAUUCUAUCAUUUUGAAAAUCUUAAGUAAUCUUAAAUUUUCUCAUUCACACUAUAAGUUAAGGAAUUUGAAUUUAAAUAAUUAAACGAUUGUUAAUCUAAUUUAUUUUUCAAGUUAUAAUUAUGUACGUUUCACGAUCACUUAGACACAAUUAAAGAAACAUAAAAAUACACCAUAGAUCAAGUAAUUUUCUAGAGUGCCAAUGGGUGUUAUACUACCAACCUAUUUCGUCACUUAAUUUAUAUCGUUUAAUCAAAUUUAACCAUCAAAUAUAUUCAAAACACAAGACCUGUAGGUGCUUAACAAAAAUUGAAUCAUCUUCAAAGUUGGGAUUUUUGUUUAGAGUUCGGACAAAUAAUAAGAUAAUUAUGUUAAAUUAAUUAAUACUAUGAUACAUAAUUUACAGUUAAAAGCAUAAACUCAAAUUUUCCUGAAGCUUCUUUUUCGCUCAUAAGAAAAUAGAUAGUCGUGACAAAGCCACACCUGAUUCUUUUAUAAAAGGAAAUUUCUUUUCUUAAAGAUGUGAUUAAAAUCCUUCCAAAAUGGAAAGUUGUGGGACUUACCAAAUUUAAAAAAGUAAAAGUGAAAAUUAGAAAUCAUGAAGGAAAGGAAAACCCUGCCUGACGUGGCGGGCUUAUGAGCAUGGGACCCGGCUACUCAACAAUAGCCUGUCACGAACGUCCACGUAUUAAAUUUAUUUUUUUUGCUCCCGCCGUGUUCGGGUAUGUGGGCCUUACAACUUACAUGCCGCCACUCAAUUACGAAACGGCGCGUCCGUGUCGCCGUCUAGGAAUGACGUCACGGGGGCUGAUCUUUUUGGGAAAGGGGUAAGCAAAUCCUGACCGCCCGUUGGACUGACUUGCACAAAAACAGAAACGGUCUGCGAAACCUGUCAACUUCAUUUCUUAUUGCCCUAUGUGCGUAUCCUGUUGGCGCUUCGUACGACAUCCAAGUGAAGGCAAUUAGUGUCGUAUGUAGUGCGCCACUGCCACCUGGGUGAAAAGUUAUAAUUUGAAGCGGUGGUGGCAGGUGCGUUUAGAGUACAGUUUUAAUUGUUGAUUAGAUUAGAUUAGAUUAGAUUAGAUUUGGUCAUUAGAUUAAUCUAUCAGACUAUCACCAUCUUAUUUAUUACCUAUUGCCUAUUAGUAAAAAAGAAAUUGAAAUAAAUGGUGUAUGAAAUGCUUCGGUUCUCAUUGAAUAAACAAGAUUUUCCUAGUAAAUUCCUUUCUUUAAUGGGUUAUCGAAAGAUGUGCAAUUUGGGUAAGGUCAAUUUGAAUUCGUUAUGGUCCCACCAAUUUCAAACCCAAUUGUUAUAAUGAAGUAAAAAGUUCGUUCAAACCCAACUCGACCUAACCCAAUUUUUUUUUUAAAGAGAAACAACUAGUGGCAAGCCAUGGUUAUCCAUCAUUUUCGGGGGCCGGUAAAACUCAUUUGAACCCGAUAAAGUUGGACAAACCCGAACCCAACCCAAGUAAGAUCGAACUCAUUUGAACCUGAACCUGAAUAAACCCACAUACCCAACCCAACCCACGAAUUGGGAUUGGCUAACCUAUUAGAGUUGUGCCCUAAAGCCAAAUUCGUAAUAUUGGAUAUUAUGUAACAAAUUCAUUUUAGUUAAUUAAUAAUAGGGCAAGAUUAAUGCAUUCAUAAGUUUGGUUUUAUAUUAUAGACAUAAUACACUAUGAAUGAGUCCAUGAGAUUUAAGGUAUGGAAGCAAUGUCCUAAACAAGGUUGGGGGGGGGGGGGGGAGACUUGUAUUCCAUAGUCAUUAGUCCAUAAAUAAAGUUUCUAGCUAUUGAAAAGUCAACUCGACAUUGACUAUCUAAAAAGGCAGGUGUAUAUCGCCUUAAGAUUAGCAUGGUGUCAUGCUAUGUGUUUAAACAAAUUCACUGAACAUUGAUCGCCCAAUAAACUAAAACGUAUGAAUGCUUAAUCAACCUAAUAUUAAAUUUAAGAAUGAGUGACAGUCCUGAAAUAUAUGCUUUCAUGAUUCACUUAGAGUUCCAAAAUUUCUUGUAUGCACAAGUUAGGCAUAAAGUGUUUCUCACAAAAUUAGAACCCAUGUAAGUUCAACAUGCUUGAACGAAAAAAAGAAGUUAUAUAACCAACGCGUACAACUUUUCCAAAUAAACGCUAUACAUGUGACACAAAUGAAUCAAUGUGCAUAUAAGUUCAACUUAUAUGAUAAUAUAUAUAUAAAACCAAUGCGUACAAUAAUUUUUUCAAAUAAAUGCUAUUCAUGUGACACAUAUGAAUCAUUCUUUUUAUGGAGACCCUUUCAUGAUGCAUUCCAACUCCCUUUUUCCUAUUUGAUGAAACUUUUUCCUAUUUGAAGAAACUAAGUGUGAGUCUACAAAUCAUCAAAAGAAAAUAUUACUUAAAAUUUUCUAAUGGGCAACUUGAUCACUUGAAUAGGAGUUAUUUGCACAGUUGAAUCUGCCUAAAGCAACUUUAGGAGACGUCAGUAGCUUAGCACAUAAAGGGUGGAAAUUAAAUCAAAUACUAAUUAAGGUUAAUCAACUUUAUUAAUUAGAGAAAAAGCCAUAAGCAGUUUAGAUAUAGCUUGAUCAAACCAGGAUCCUCUCCUGAGCAAUUCCCUAGGGAUCCUGCAAUCAUGUUCGGUCAUUGUAUAUCGUGCGGUCAGAAAUCAUUUAAAAUUUAAAUUUUAAAAUUCAAAUAUGAAUAGUACCUAACGAAAACUGACCGCACGAUAUAAAAUGAACGAACAAGAUUGCAGAAUCCCUAGGGAAUUGCUCAGGAGAGGAUCCUGGUUCAGCUUGAUCAACAAUCUGAUUAAGAUCCAGGACUAAAAUUGUACUUGAAAUUAUAAAAUUAUAUGUAAGUAUGGUUAAUAGCAGCCAAGAGAUCUUGCUAGCCUGAGGUAGUUUUUUUUAGGGAACUCUAACGAAAAGCUUCCAGUACUGUUCAUUUUAACAAAAAAUCACAUUUUCACACUAAAAAGUUAAUCAUGGUACUAUUUACUUUACCAUUUAUUUUGUCUUUAUUAUUAAAACUCAAAGUUUUCAAAUCUUUUUCAUUAGUUUUUUUUUAUUUUUUUUUAUUUUUUUUUAAAGGUAAUAAAGGAUUUCAUUCAUAACCGACCAAAUAAACGAGUACAGACAACAUAGAAAAGAACGUGGCUCUGGAAAAACCUCGUCUCGAGGAAACUACAUGGAAAAAACUCUCAUGGAGGGAAAAGAGCCACUAAACAUUACUGUAUUAUGCAAAUGGCCAUCUCUUGAAAGAGAGAUUUAAUAUUUCUACUUUUUAACCACUUGAAUAUUUGACCAUGUAGUUUGUAUAUCAUUAUGGGAGAUUUAGGGUCAGUUUGAGAUUGAUGUGCUUUUAAAAAAAAAUUGUUUCUGCUGUUCUUUAAGAAUAAUCAGCUGUAAAAUAAAAUAGAUGAGUGUUUGGUUAAUUGUAUUUUAAAAGUGAUGUGUGUAAAAAAAACAGUGUAAAAGCGUUUAAUAAUUUUAAUGUAAAAGUAAUGUAAUUGUAUACAGUGACAAAAUUGACAUAGUAAUAGAAGUGGGGGUGACGAUGACAAUGGUGGGGAUGAUGGUGGUAAUGGCAGUUGUGGUGUUAAUAGUGGGAUGUGGUUGUUGGGCUUUAGAGGUAACAAUGGUGUUAGGGCGGUGGUAGCGCCGGUGGUGACGGUUGUAGUUGUGGUGACAGUGGUGACGGUUGUGGUUAUAUGGUGGUGGUGCUAAUAGUGGGAUGUGGUGGUUGGGGUGUAGAGGUAAUAAUGGUGCUAGGGGCAGUGGUAACGCUGGUGGUGGCGGUGGCGCAAUGAAGGUGGUGACAAUGAUGGUAGUGGCAGUUGUGGUUAUGGUGGUGGUGGUGGCAGUUGUGGUGGUGCUAAUGGCGUUGAUUGUGUAAGGUUAGUUUUGUAGUGGUAGGUUGUAGCGAUCAUUUUAUUCUCUAAGAGAUAAAAUGUGCGGAAGGCUAAAUAAUAUUAUUAAAAAAAAUUAAUGAAGGUAUUACAAAAAUUGAAAAUAUUUAUUAAAGGCUCAACUCUAUUUUUUAUUCAAGCAACCUACAUGUUGCUUUGAAAAUAAGCAGGAUAUUUUACUUUUACCAAAAACCUUUUUACUGAUUAAAUUAAGUGAAACAGUUUUUUGUGAAAAAAUAUAAUACCAAACGAGGCUUUAGUAGUGGAACUAUUCAAUAUAAUGUGGUAAUAACCUUAUGAGUUUUGCAAAAAACGCGGGACAUACGCUUCAACAAGCCAAUCCUAGUGGACUUUGAAGUUUUAUAGAGUUUAUACCUACUUUAAGAUAGUCUGUAUCUUCACAAAUAUGUCUCACUAAUAUUUUGUGUUCUUUCUUAAUUUAAAAACGAACCAUUAUAUUGAAUCACAAAUAAAAACUCGAAAAUAAAUCGAUGAUUUGUAAUUAAACGUAUCCUUAUGGGAUGGACGCACUAAUUAUAAGAGUAUUAUUGAAUAUGUAGGUUCACAAAAUAUUAAAGUGUUUGGUCAUUAUAUUUCCUCUUUUUAUUUAAUUAAUGUAGGUUGAUGAUGUGGUACUUAAGUACUUUGGCUAAUAAUCAAGCGGCGUAUAAACCCCUUUUAAUUUAAUUAAUGUUCUCUUUUACAAAUUUAAGAUACAAAUUCAAGUCUUUUUGUGGUCCACCAAAAUCCCAACAUAUGCAAAUGAAGAACAAGUACAUAUAUGAACAUUAAGAAUGAAAAAGUUAGGAUUAAGAUAAGUAACAAGUUUUAUAUCUUUUUAGUACGAUGCAUAAAUGAAGUUUUACGGUGUAGAAAAAACUUGGUUAUUUCGAGAGAUUAUUUUUCUGUGCCUCUAUCUCACCCCUCGCAAUGAGUGACGUAUUUUUGUGAUAAAUUUUUAUCAUACGAUACUUGUAUUAAUUUACACGAGGGAAUUACAUUUACCUAAAUCCUAAAGUAAUAAGACUUUGUGCGAUUUUCUUUAAAAUAAUGGCACUUUCUUAAGUAAACUAUAUAAAUGGGUGGUCUAAAAAUGAAUAGUGUUUUUCACUCACUUAUUUUUUAAUUCUCACACACUCUUGUUAUUUUUUUCAUUGAUUUUCUUCAACUCAUUCGAUUUGACGGUCGAAAAUUAAGAGAGGUAUGUGAGAAGUAAAAAUAAGUAUGUGUAUAGCACUAACCAAACAAAUCAGUCCAAACAUAAACCUCUUAACUCAAACCUGUUACUAGUAUGCAAGUGGUUAUCUGCCACAGUGGUGAAGAUGAGUGUUGUCCUUGCACCACGGCGUGUGUUCAAACUUUGUUGGCUUCCUGAUCUAACAUCUAAUCUAAUAAAUCUAUCGUUUAAUAAAAAAAAAAAAGAUUUGUUACUUGUAUCAAGAUGAUGCCACCGGGCAUCAUAUCAAUAUAAUUUAAGCCGUUAUUCAAAUUAGUGACUCUAGUCGUGAUUACUAAUGAGUACUUAGUUUUAGAUUAAAAAUGAAACAAUUAGGGAAAAGUUAUGAGAAAACAUCAACCACUACUAGGUCCAGUUGCUCAACACUCGUACGCGAGAGGUUUUUUACUUAAAGUCCCACACAAAUGACAAAGAUGUGUAAUAUUUGUGUUCAAUUGUAUUUAGCUAUAACUGAACCACACAACAAGUGAUCCAGUGUAAGGGCAGACUGCGGCUCUCUAAUAAACAAAAAAAUGUAGAAGGUCUUGGAUUCGAUACUCUGAAGUGAUGAGUCUGCUUGACAUUGGCCACAUGCAGAGUGAAAUUCCCCAUAACCUCUUCGGGCCCGUAACAGAUGGAUAACUAUGAUUUGCCACUAGUUGUCCUUUUUUUUUUCUUUAUAUAUAUAUAGCUAUAACUGAUCUAUUAUGUGACUCAACCCAAUACCGAGAGUGGAAUAUUCCUUCUCGUAAAUAGAAUAUCAUAUAUAAAAAAAUGAAGGGUUAAUCUCAAUUACUACUUUAAAGUUUGAGUAAACUGCCGAUUUGCCCCCUGAACUAUCACCAACUUUCGAUUUGCCCCCUGAACUUUUUAAUUAGAAAAUUAAGGACUUAAACUAAUUUUUUUGGCCGAUUUCCCCCCUACCUUUAGUUUUUCAUAAAUUUCAUCCAAAUUAACGUUAACUCUCAUCAUGUGCAAACUACGUAACUCUCAUUUGUGGACAAAAGCGUCAUUUCACUAGACCUUCAGAUAGAAAAGCCAUAGAAUCACACAUAUUUGCAUAGGUUUAUAUUUUAGAAAUCUAAGGUUUUCAAUUAUUUUAAAGAAUGAAGUGACCGAACUACCCACUCAUGUUGUGCAUAUGCUUCCAUUUAACAGAAAUUUGGACGGAAUGAAUGAAAAAUUAAUAGCAGGGGCAAAUUGGCCAAAAAAAUUAGUUUAAGUCCUUAAUUUUCCAAUUAAAAAGUUCAGGGGGCAAAUCGAAAGUUGGGUGAUAGUUCAGAGGGCAAAUCGGCAGUUUACUCUUAAAGUUUUUUGGUUUUCAACAUUUGGUACAUGAAGUUUUUUUUGUUCCAGUUUGGUACCUAAAGUUAUAAUUAUGGGACACUUUCAUACAUCCGUUAAGUUCUCCGUCAGAACCUCAUUUAAUUGAUGACGUGGCAUCCACGUGGACAAUAAUUGAACGCCACGUGUCAAUAUAGGCUCACGUGAAUAUUAAAAAAUUAAAAAAAUUAAAAAAUAAGAAAAAAGAAAAAAGAAAAAUCUUUUUCUUUGCAAACUCAAUCCGUCUUCUUCCAAGGAAGAAACCAAAAUCCACCUCUAAUUCUACCAAGAAUAUCAAUUGAAGAAGCUCAAUCCCAUAUCAUUACCCUCAAAUUCCACCAAACCCAUAGCAAAUUCCAAAUCCGCCAACACAUGUUCUCUAACCUUGUGUUCCUCUCAUCCGGACUCCUUGAUGUCGCCGCCCCCUCCAUUUCCUGCAAUCAUCUUCCUAAACUUCGAGAUCUCGUUUUAGAGCUUCGAGAUCUUAGAGUCGGUGAGGGACUUGUUGAGGUGGACGGUCUUGGACACAACAUUGGCAACCUCGAAAGAGAGAAUGCCAAUGGUUUGCUUAUGGGUUUUUGCGGCAGCAGCACCGACACGUGGUAGCUCAUAUGCUUCAGCGCUUCGAUUCUUCUCUUUCCUCGGGUGGCUCGCGAACCAGAGCUGCUUUGGAUCAAUUUUAGAUUCAGGCUCCUUAGAUUUUGGGGUUAGGUUUUUACAAAGGGUGGAGGAGUAGGGAUGGGCAACGGUUAUGGCGGACGAGUAACCGCGGUUAUUUACCCAUAACCGUUUAUGUUCAUACCCGCAUAACCGUUUAUCCGUUGGGUAAUUGCCUAAACGGUUAUACUCAUACCCAUAACCAUUUAUAAAUGGUUAACCAUACUCAUAACCGCAUACCCAUUUAACUGUAACCGUUUAAUACCCGUUUACCCAUUUACCCUUUUUAAACCGUUUAUCUUUUUUUUUUUUUACCAUUAACCCUUUUUCACCCGUCUACAUGUUUUUUAACAACUUGAAAAUUAAAAAAAAAAACUGUCAUAAUUUUCUUUUCUUUUUUUACAAUUAAACACCGUUAUAGUACAUUCAUCAUACAUUUCCGUAUUUUAAUUUUUGAAGUCCUUAUACUAUUCCAAUAAUUGAAAUAAUAGUUUACGGACGAUAUUUUCAACUGUUACCAAUGAAGGUAAAUAUAAUAUUUGCUAAGUAUUAUUGGGUUACAAAAAUUGUUUAGAAGAUAUUUCUGUCAAAGCAUUUCUGUCAAUUUCACGGUUACCCAUAAGGAAUGUAAAUUAAUUUGGUGAAUUCCUUGAUGAUGAGAAUCAUCAUUCCUGUAGCAGUGUUAUUGAGAUAAUGAUCGAUGAAUUCCUUGCUAAUUUAUUGGGUGCUAAGUAUUAUUGGAUCGAGAACAUGAUUUGUGUUAGUUUUACAUAUAUAAAAUAAAUGGGUAAACGGUUACCCGUUUAUAACUGUGGUUAAUACCCAUAACCGACCAUUUAAAUUUCGUGGGUAAACGGUUAUACCCAUAAUCGUUUAUUUAUCUAAACGGUUACCCAUAAUCAAUGGGUAUUUGCUCAUCCCUAUGGAGGAGAGAGAAGGUAGGGGAGCAGACAGGUGGGUGCAGAGGAGGAGAGAAGGGAGAG